rnacentral:ncRNA from 1 species
GAACAGGCAAAUCCGGCGAAAGCCGGCGACGCAAAGCUAUAGGGCCUUUUAAAUGGCAGCCAGCUGCA